CUGAACCUGAUUAUCAAGAGGAGGUAAGGAGGAAUGUAUUUGACAUUCAGGUGAUGUACAAUAGAUUUCCUUAAGAAAUUGAAAGGGAGAAAAAGAACAACAGCAACAACAACAAAAGCAGCCUCCUGCCUGAG
ensembl:lincRNA